rnacentral:lncRNA from 1 species
GAUCAAUCUUCACCACGAACUGAUGAUCAUGGAUGUCUUCUGAAGGUCUCUUAUAGCCGCAUGAGCAUUCGAUCUUUACGGAUAUCCAUACGAGACUUUGAUCUAAUUAUAAGCUUUUUGAUCUCAUCGGGGUGCUAGCUCCCUUGCAGAGAUCGCAUCUUGAUGGUUGAAAAUGUUCUUUUCUCUCUAGACAAUCUUAAAGAAGAAGAAGAACAUAGGAGGAUGUUGACUCCACGCUAG